UGUGACAUACCUUAUGUUGCCUCGGCGGAUCAGCCCGCGCCCCGUAAAAAGGGACGGCCCGCCGCAGGAACCCUAAACUCUGUUUUUAGUGGAACUUCUGAGUAUAAAAAACAAAUAAAUCAAAACUUUCAACAACGGAUCUCUUGGUUCUGGCAUCGAUGAAGAACGCAGCAAAAUGCGAUAAGUAAUGUGAAUUGCAGAAUUCAGUGAAUCAUCGAAUCUUUGAACGCACAUUGCGCCCGCCAGUAUUCUGGCGGGCAUGCCUGUUCGAGCGUCAUUUCAACCCUCAAGCCCAGCUUGGUGUUGGGAGCUGCAGUCCUGCUGCACUCCCCAAAUACAUUGGCGGUCACGUCGAGCUUCCAUAGCGUAGUAAUUUACACAUCGUUACUGGUAAUCGUCGCGGCCACGCCGUUAAACCCCAACUUCUGAAUGUUGACCUCGGAUCAGGUAGGAAUACCCGCUGAACUUAAGCAUAUC
rnacentral:rRNA from 1 species